GCAGUGGUGGUUCAGUGGUAGAAUUCUUGCCUUCCACGCAGGAGACCCAGGUUCAAUUCCCAGCCAGGGCA
rnacentral:tRNA from 1 species